UUGCAUAAAAAGCAAAUUUACCUUCAGAGCACGUUCUUGAUUGUUUUUAGCAGUCAGAUGUCUAGGGUUGUUUGCAGAAGUCUGGUUCUGCUCUUUCAUAUGAUGAAGCUCCUGCUCCAGCCGUUUGCACUGCAACGAG